UACGAAGGGGGCUAGCGUUGCUCGGAAUCACUGGGCGUAAAGCGCACGUAGGCGGAUUGCUAAGUCAGGGGUGAAAUCCUGGAGCUCAACUCCAGAACUGCCUUUGAUACUGGCAUUCUCGAGUCCGGAAGAGGUGAGUGGAAUUCCGAGUGUAGAGGUGAAAUUCGUAGAUAUUCGGAGGAACACCAGUGGCGAAGGCGGCUCACUGGUCCGGUACUGACGCUGAGGUGCGAAAGCGUGGGGAGCAAACAGG
rnacentral:rRNA from 1 species